rnacentral:rRNA from 1 species
CAAUAGCGUAUAUUAAAGUUGUUGCAGUUAAAAAGCUCGUAGUUGGAUUUCUGGUCGGAAGCUCCUGUCCUCUGAUGAGCGUACAAGUGCGUCCUACCAUCCUUCUGUUAACCUUUAAGGCUUUCGCGGCUUUCUAGGGGCUCAGAUAUUUUACCUUGAGAAAAUUAGAGUGUUUCAGGCAGGCUAGCGCCGGAAUACAUUAGCAUGGAAUAAUGGAAUAGGACUUUUGCCUCUUCUGUUGGUCAUGAGGCUCGAGUAAUGAUUAAUAGGGAUAGUUGGGGGCAUUAGUACUUAACUGUCAGAGGUGAAAUUCGCGGAUUUGUUAAAGACUAACUUAUGCGAAAGCAUUUGCCAAGGAUGUUUUCAUUAA